rnacentral:rRNA from 1 species
GAUGAACGCUGGCGGCGUGCCUAAUACAUGCAAGUCGAGCGAACGGACGAGAAGCUUGCUUCUCUGAUGUUAGCGGCGGACGGGUGAGUAACACGUGGAUAACCUACCUAUAAGACUGGGAUAACUUCGGGAAACCGGAGCUAAUACCGGAUAAUAUUUUGAACCGCAUGGUUCAAAAGUGAAAGACGGUCUUGCUGUCACUUAUAGAUGGAUCCGCGCUGCAUUAGCUAGUUGGUAAGGUAACGGCUUACCAAGGCAACGAUGCAUAGCCGACCUGAGAGGGUGAUCGGCCACACUGGAACUGAGACACGGUCCAGACUCCUACGGGAGGCAGCAGUAGGGAAUCUUCCGCAAUGGGCGAAAGCCUGACGGAGCAACGCCGCGUGAGUGGUGAAGGUCUUAGGAUCGUAAAACUCUGUUAUUAGGGAAGAACAUAUGUGUAAGUAACUGUGCACAUCUUGACGGUACCUAAUCAGAAAGCCACGGCUAACUACGUG